UACGAACCGUCCAAACGUUAUUCGGAUUCAUUGGGCUUAAAGGGUACGUAGGCGGCCCUGUUAGUCGGGUGUGAAAUCCCUCGGCUCAACCGAGGAACUGCGCCCGAUACUGCAGGGCUUGAGGGAGACAGAGGUAAGCGGAACUGAUGGUGGAGCGGUGAAAUGCGUUGAUAUCAUCAGGAACACCAGUGGCGAAAGCGGCUUACUGGGUCUCUUCUGACGCUGAGGUACAAAAGCUAGGGGAGCGAACGGG
rnacentral:rRNA from 1 species